CAGCGACUCCGGGAAAAAGCUGGGAAAACCCAAAGCGUGCGGGGUCCUAAGCGGGGCUGCCCGCCUCUCCACGGCACGGCCCCUGCGGUGCGAUGCUCAGCCCCGACCCGCAGCCCCCAGCACCCAUCCGGCCCCAUGCGGGUAGCGAGAGGGCGAAGGAGAGCUGCAGAAACUUGUUGGGACGUCUCCAGUGUUAAGCAGGCCACUGCAGGGCGUGCUGAUAAUUGUGGUCUGCAUCCAUGAGGGAUCAGGACAGCACUGUGCAUGGCACGCACCUCUCUCCUCAACCUUCCUUACGGCAGGACUUGGCACAGGACAGGGGGCUUGGAAGCACACACUGCUCACAGCACACAGCAGAUCCAGCUCCGGCCGCACUUGUGUUUGGGCUCCAAGAGCAUUUGCUGCACACCGGGUUAUGCAAACAGCUCUCUGCAUACUUCUCAGCGGCCGUGAUUUACCAUAAGGGCCACACAGCAAAGUUUAAAACUAAGCCUCAAAUCUCCUUUUUUUC
rnacentral:lncRNA from 1 species